CUGAAGCUUGCUGACUGCUAGACUGGCCAGCCAAUGAGCUUUGUGGAUGGAUCUGCCUGUCUCCAUCUUCUACCCUCCCAUCCCAACUCCCAGGGAUGGCAUCACAGACAGUUCCAUGAAGGCAAAGGCAAGCCACAUGGAGGGGUGGAUACUUGCAAUUCGAGUAUGUGACAAAGAGCUUCUAUUGAAGAUAGGAAAGGACACCAACGGAUCAAUAAGCAGAAGACAGAAGAGUUGAACAAGCAUUUCAAGAAAGCUGGAAGAAACCUAGGACAAGGGGCUGAACCUUACGAGUCAUCAAGGAAGUGGACAGUAUGACCAAAGGGAGACACUCUCGCACAGCCACCAGAAUAGCUAAAUUUGAAGUGACAGUACUAAGUCCUUGCAAGGAAACAACAAUGGGAAUUUCCAAGAGCCACCAAUAGAAGUGCAAACUACAACUUCUUCACAAAUAGUUAAGCAUUUUCUACUGAAACUGAGCCAUGCAUAACUCCCAGAAGCAGAAAUUCUCACCCUUCGAACACCUAAGAAUACUCCCGGCAGAGAAACGUCACCAGCACUAGAACAGAUAUAGUCACUUAGUGGGACACUCUGGAAGAGCAAUGGAAAGGAACAGACUGGACCUCACCCCAAUAACAUUUUGUAGCUCAGAAAUAUACAGAAUGAAAUGAAGACAGACACAGAAGAAUGCUUUCUAUAUAAUCUCCUUUGUAUACAAUUGGAAACCAGGCCAAAAAGCCAGGCAGUGGUGGUGCACACCUUUAAUCCCAGUACUUGGGAGGCAGAGGCAGAGGCAGGAGGAUUUCUGACUUCGAGGCCAGCCUGGUGUGCAGAGUGAGUUCCAGGACAGCCAUGGAUACACAGAGAAGCCCUGUCUCGAAAAAUCAAAAUAAAUAAAUAAAUAAAUAAAUAAAUAAAUAAAUAAAUAUCUGUGCCUAGGAAUGCCUAUGUAAGACUGUGCUGUGCUGACCGAGAAGGGAAGCUAGGGGCUUUCUUUAGUCACUUUAGUGGGUUGAAGGAUAGCAGGGAUGGUUAGGAGAUAUUGGUGUCUGUGAGGUGCACACACACACACACACACACACACACACACACACACGCUCACACACACGAAUGCAAGCUUCCUAGUGCCUGCCAUGGUGUUUGUGUGGUGGUCAGAGGACAAUGAAUAAAUAAAUAGAUUCAUUCUUUCCCUCUAUGACAUGGGUUCCCAGAAUUGAACUCAGGUUGUCAGGCUUGAUGACAAGUCUUUUUUUUUUUAACCCACUGAACCAUUUUGUUGUACUUAAAGUUAUAUUUUUACUAGUUUCAUUGAGAGACAGUUCAUAUUGGACAUGGUUGGGUCAUCAGGUAAAGAUGUGCACGCGACCUGUGUUCAAUCCCUGGAAUCAGUGUAAGGGUGGAAGGAGAGAAGGUUGCCCACUGACCCUCCAGCACCAUGGUAAACACAUACUUCCUCAUAUGUGCUUCAUACAUCAUACAUGCCAAUGGCAAUGGUAACAAAUAAAAUUAACAAUUCAAAAUAAAGCAGUUGAUUGCUUCAGGCGCUAUGUAGCUC
rnacentral:lncRNA from 1 species